rnacentral:rRNA from 1 species
UACGUAGGGGGGCAAGCGUUGUCCGGAAUCAUUGGGCGUAAAGCGCGUGUAGGCGGCUCGGUAAGUCCGCUCUGAAAGUCCAGGGCUCAACCCUGGGAUGCGGGUGGAUACUGCCGGGCUCGAGUCCGGAAGAGGCGAGUGGAAUUCCCGGUGUAGCGGUGAAAUGCGCAGAUAUCGGGAGGAACACCGAAUGGCGAAGGCAGCUCGCUGGGACGUGACUGACGCUGAGACGCGAAAGCGUGGGGAGCAAACAGGG